UCAUCUUUUUUCUAUUAUUUCCUGGCAGCUCCUUUGUUAGUGAAUCUUGUUUCUAUAUUAGUUUAUUGUACGUUUUAGAAAGAUCAGAAAUCAGGGAGCUUGGGUUGUGUUAUUUAAUCAAGAAUUGAGAAGAAAGGCUAGAAAAUAAUAGAAGAAAACAAGGGAAUAUGAGUGUGUUCAUGUACAGUAUCUGAUAAUAACUCCUUAGCUAACAACUGAAAGUAAUGGCCAAUAAGAAAUUAAGACUUGGCCAAUAUAGGAUCUGUGUGGUUACAAAAGGGAAUUUAAGCUAACUUUCAUCUCAGCAGGUUGCUAUGCCUAAUUUUCUCUCCCUUUAGCUCCUUUUGUCAAUUUCCUUCUUGUUCUAGGCUGCAUUGCCUAUAACCUCGGAACCGGCAAUGGUAAAUCUGUGCUUGAAAUGGUUGCUGCUUUUGAGAAAGCUUCUGGAAAGAAAAUCCCCAUUAAACUAUGCCCCAGAAGGCCAGGAGAUGCUACAGCUGUUUAUGCUUCCACUGAAAAAGCUCAAAAAGAACUUGGUCGAAAAGAAAAAUAUGGUAUAGCAGAGAUGUGCAGAGAUCAGUGGAAGUGGGCAAGCAACAAUCUAUGGGGAUACCAGUCAAAGCCUUAGGCUUCAAUUAAAUACUAAUUUUCUUCCCCGGUCUUUUAAAAAUGUCUCAUAGGGAGAAUUAAGUGUACAAAUAUUUGUUUAAUUUAAACAAAACUGAUCUUUGAUGAUCAAAAGUUAAAAUUUAUCAAAUGUUCAAAGAUCUUAUAAAA